rnacentral:miRNA from 1 species
AGUUGCAGGAAGGAGACAGGCAGUUAAGGAGGUGGCACUGCUGUGUGUGAGCUGUUUGUGUUUCUCUUCUCAG